GACGAACGCUGGCGGCGUGCUUAACACAUGCAAGUCGAACGGGAUCCAAAGGCUUUUUGUUGUUGGUGAGAGUGGCGAACGGGUGAGUAACAAGGGAGUAACCUGCCCCCUUCUUUUGGAUAACCGCAUGAAAGUGUGGCUAAUACAGGAUAUUCCAGGCUGGUCGCAUGAGUGGUUUGGGCUGUGGUUUGGUUUGGUGGGGGAUGGGCUCGCGGCCUAUCAGCUUGUUGGUGGGGUGAUGGACUACCAAGGCGGGGACGGGUAGCCGGCCUGGGAGGGUGGGCGGUGAAAUUGGAAAUGAGAUACCGCCCAGACUGCGACGGGAGGCAGCAGUGUGGGAUUUUGCACAAUGGGCGCAAGCAUGAAGCAGCGACGCCGCGUGAGGGAUGAAGGCCUUCGGGUUGUAACCCUCUUUCGCUGGGUUGAAAGGCCCUGCUUUUGGUGUUGUUGAUUUGAACUGGUAAAGAAGUACCGGCUAACUACGUG
rnacentral:rRNA from 1 species